rnacentral:rRNA from 1 species
AGUGAACGCUGGCGGCGUGCCUAAUACAUGCAAGUCGAACGGAGUGGCGCAAGGGUGAGUAAUGUAUAGCUCAUCUGCCCUAAACUAGAGGACAACAGGUUGGAAAGACUGCUAAUAAUAUAUAGGGUAGGAUGAGGCUAUAUUGUAUUAGCGAGUUGGUGAGGUAAUGGCUCACCAGGGCUAUGACGCAUAACUGGUCUGGUAGGAUGGGCAGUCACACUGGAAGGGAGACACGGUCAAGGCACCUACGGGAGGCAGCAUUAGGGAAUAUUGCUCAAUGGGGGAAACCCUGAAGCAGCUACGCAGCGUGGAGGAUGACACUUUUCGUAGCGUAAACACCUUUUGUUAGGGAAGCGGUAUCUAACCAAUAAGCACCGGCUAACUCCGUGCCAGCAGCCGCGGUAAUAC